rnacentral:rRNA from 1 species
UACAGAGGGUGCGAGCGUUGUCCGGAAUUACUGGGCGUAAAGGGCGCGUAGGCGGCUUAUCAAGUCAGGCGUGAAAUUCCCGGGCUCAACCUGGGGGCUGCGCUUGAUACUGAUGAGCUUGAAUGCGGGAGAGGAUAGUGGAAUUCCCAGUGUAGAGGUGAAAUUCGUAGAUAUUGGGAAGAACACCGGUGGCGAAGGCGGAUCUCUGGGCCAUUACUGACGCUGAGGAGCGAAAGCGUGGGGAGCGAACAGG